rnacentral:rRNA from 1 species
GAUGAACGCUGGCGGCGUGCCUAAUACAUGCAAGUCGAGCGAACAGACGAGGAGCUUGCUCCUCUGACGUUAGCGGCGGACGGGUGAGUAACACGUGGAUAACCUACCUAUAAGACUGGGAUAACUUCGGGAAACCGGAGCUAAUACCGGAUAAUAUAUUGAACCGCAUGGUUCAAUAGUGAAAGACGGUUUUGCUGUCACUUAUAGAUGGAUCCGCGCCGCAUUAGCUAGUUGGUAAGGUAACGGCUUACCUAGGCGACGAUGCGUAGCCGACCUGAGAGGGUGAUCGGCCACACUGGAACUGAGACACGGUCCAGACUCCUACGGGAGGCAGCAGUAGGGAAUCUUCCGCAAUGGGCGAAAGCCUGACGAAGCAACGCCGCGUGAGUGAUGAAGGUCUUCGGAUCGUAAAACUCUGUUAUUAGGGAAGAACAAAUGUGUAAGUAACUAUGCACGUCUUGACGGUACCUAAUCAGAAAGCCACGGCUAACUACGUG